rnacentral:rRNA from 1 species
AUUGAACGCUGGCGGCAGGCCUAACACAUGCAAGUCGAACGAGUGGCGGACGGGUGAGUAAUGUCUGGGAAACUGCCUGAUGGAGGGGGAUAACUACUGGAAAAGGUAGCUAAUACCGCAUAACAUCGGAUGUGACCAGAGGGGAUUCGCUAGUCGGUGGGGUAAAGGCUCACCUAGGCGACGCUCCCUAGCUGGUAUUAGAGGAUGACCAGACACACUGGAACUGAGACACGGACCAGACUCCUACGGGAGGCAGCAGUGGGGAAUAGUGAACAAGGGGGGCAAUCCUGAUGCAGCCAUUCCGGGUGUAUGAAGAAGGUCUUCGGGUUGUAAAGUACUUUUGGCGGGGAGGCGUUACCCGCAGAAUAAGCACCGGCUAACUCCGUGCCAGCCGCCGCGGUAAUAC